AUUGAACGCUGGCGGCAGGCCUAACACAUGCAAGUCGAACGAGUGGCGGACGGGUGAGCAAGGUCUGGGCAACUGCCUGAUGGAUGGGGAUAACUACUGGAAACUGUAGCUAAUACCGCAUACCAUCAGUUGUGCCCAGGUGGGAUUAGCUUGGUGGUGGGGUAACGGCACACCAAGGCGACGAUCCCUAGCUGGUCUGAGAGGAUGACCGGCCACACUGGAACGGAGACACGGUCCAGACGCCUACGGGAGGCAGCAGUGGGGAAUAUUGGACAAUGGGCGAAAGCCUGACCGAGCCAUGCCGCGUGUAUGAAGAAGGCUUUCGGGUUGUAAAGCUCUUUUAGUGGGGAGGCGUUACCUGCCGAAGAAGCAACGGCUAACUACGUGCCAGCAGCCGCGGUAAUAC
rnacentral:rRNA from 1 species